rnacentral:rRNA from 1 species
GUUAAGCGACUAAGCGUACACGGUGGAUGCCCUGGCAGUCAGAGGCGAUGAAGGGCGUGCUAAUCUGCGAUAAGCGCCGGUAAGGUGAUAUGAACCGUUAUAACCGGCGAUACCCGAAUGGGGAAACCCAGUGUGACUCGUCACACUAUCAUUAACUGAAUCCAUAGGUUAAUGAGGCGAACCGGGGGAACUGAAACAUCUAAGUACCCCGAGGAAAAGAAAUCAACCGAGAUUCCCCCAGUAGCGGCGAGCGAACGGGGAGGAGCCCAGAGCCUGAAUCAGCAUGUGUGUUAGUGGAAGCGUCUGGAAAGGCGCGCGAUACAGGGUGACAGCCCCGUACACAAAAGCGCAUGUGCUGUGAGCUCGAUGAGUAGGGCGGGACACGUGGUAUCCUGUCUGAAUAUGGGGGGACCAUCCUCCAAGGCUAAAUACUCCUGACUGACCGAUAGUGAACCAGUACCGUGAGGGAAAGGCGAAAAGAACCCCGGCGAGGGGAGUGAAAAAGAACCUGAAACCGUGUACGUACAAGCAGUGGGAGCACAGGUUUACCUGUGUGACUGCGUACCUUUUGUAUAAUG